rnacentral:rRNA from 1 species
UACGAAGGGGGCUAGCGUUGCUCGGAAUUACUGGGCGUAAAGGGAGCGUAGGCGGAUAGUUUAGUCAGAGGUGAAAGCCCAGGGCUCAACCUUGGAAUUGCCUUUGAUACUGGCUAUCUUGAGUACGGAAGAGGUACGUGGAACUCCGAGUGUAGAGGUGAAAUUCGUAGAUAUUCGCAAGAACACCAGUGGCGAAGGCGGCUUACUGGUCCGGUUCUGACGCUGAGGCGCGAAAGCGUGGGGAGCAAACAGG